rnacentral:misc_RNA from 1 species
AACGCACAUUGCGCCCCUUGGUAUUCCAUGGGGCAUGCCUGUUCGAGCGUCAUUUCAACCCUUAAGCCUAGCUUAGUGUUGGGAGACUGCCUAAUACGCAGCUCCUCAAAACCAGUGGCGGAGUCUGUUCGUGCUCUGAGCGUAGUAAUUUUUUAUCUCGCUUCUGCAAGCCGGCCAGACGACAGCCAUAAACCGCACCCUCUCGGGGGGCACUUUUUUAAUGGUUGACCUCGGAUCAGGUAGGAAUACCCGCUGAACUUAA